UAAAUUACACGACCGAACAUCUGAUAAUAUACUAUAUGAUAUGAUAAUAUAUUAUCAGAUUUUCGGUCGCGUUAUUUU